CCCGAGUAGGCAGUUGUGGUCCACAGGCCACUGGCAAACAGAGGCAGAGCCACAGAGGGGCUGCUCGUCCCCAAAUGUCUCUCCAGCCGCUCUGAAGCUGCUGCGGGCUGCUGUGCUGGUCCAUGGAGAAGGUGGAACACUGGACUAAAGAGACAGGCUGAGGAAGCCCUCAAGUCACCCCUGAUGGAGGCCAGACCUUGAAUGUUACAAUCCCUCUGCUUAUCGACCCUUAAUAAAAAUCUGAGCAGGUCUUCUCUGCAGGACACAGGAGGCUUUCUGGAAAAAAAAACAUGGAAAAGUGAGUCUCCUAAGCGUUCCCAAGUGAUUGAUGCAGGACACAUCUUAAAAGGAUGAAAGGAGGAUGGAGGAAAACUUCAGAAGGAAAUAACACAGUUUGAAUGAAAACACCUAUUUUGCAGAAAGUCCGGAAGUGCUCGACCAAGAGAUCGCGAGAUGGGAGCAGAGAGUACAGGAAAGGAAGGAGGAGAAAGAAAGGCUGGAAACCUUUGAAUGCACAAAAAAAACAGGUCAUGAAAGAUACCACGAGCCAACUAAAAUCUCUGGCUGAAAAUGUGCUGGACACCAUGCAGUUGGAAGAUUUCACUAGGGACCGCAGUGAUGAGGGGAACUUGGAAGCAGAGCUAAAGAGGAAAGCAGAAAAUGAAGAAACCACCCCCUUAAAAAUUAAGUAAAUUUUUUUAAAGUUAUGUGCAUACAUUCUGUAUAUACAGAAAAGAUAUCUAAAUUGUAUGCACGCAGAAGGAGCAUUGCCCCCACAAGGAACAGUUCAUGCUAAAUGGUGCAGAUGAAGAGACUUUGACAAAGGAAGUUUCCUGAGCUGUGGGCAGGGAUGAGAGCUCAGACAAAUGAUGGGAAGCCUCCCAGAUGCCAAGGUUUCCCACCCCCAGGUUUCAAGGGAGGAGAGAGGAAGUGAUGUCAUCUGAGCCCAGUGAGGCCCUGUCAAGGGACCAGGGAAAACUGCCCCCACUUUUUGCUCCCAUCCUCUCAUUGACUGCAGGUGCACAGGCAGCUGCCUGAAAGAGGGCCUGCGAAGUGCAAGCCAGAGGAGUUGGCCUCCAUGGCACAGAGCAGGCAGAAAACAAAUUUGGAGAAUGACCAGCACUCUUGGGUUUAUUUGACUGAAAGUGCUUGUUUUAUUGCAUUCACUCACAUCCAUUUAUUU
rnacentral:lncRNA from 1 species